GCUGUGUAUUUUCAUCUGAUUCCUGGCGGUGGUAUUUUUUCCAGGACUAAACUCAUGGUUUAGAAGAAGAUGUACUACUUCAACUAGAUUCAUGAGACCUGCCUGGAUACAUAGCCAGGCUCUGACAUAUGGUUUGUCCACUGGGAGACUUGGACUGGAUCUGCUUGGAAACUCCAUCCAUGUGUGUGUCUUAAAGGAUCUGGGAUCUCAUUCAAGUGGAUACUUCCUUCAGGAUUGC